UAUUUGCACAUAUAUAUUUGUAUGUAUAUGCAUAUGUGUGUGUAUACAUAUUUGCUCCCAAAUUGCCAGUGAGAUGAGUUUCUCAGAUGGGCCCCUAUUUUUCUACUGACAUUUCCAUAUUAAAAGAGCCCUCGGAUUGUAACAUUAAUAACACAACUUAAAAUUUCUGAGGGUGCAUUUAACCCACCUAUCAGGGUAUUGCUAGAGCAUAUAAAGUAGGCAGGUUUUCGUGGAAUAACAAACAUUGGAGCCUUUCUGUCAGUGAACUGUUUACCUCACUUUUACACACCCACAGCAAUUACUUUUUCUUAGGAUUCCUGCCUCUUUACCACCCCAAUUAAAUCUGCUAGAAAGGGUGUAUGCUCCUGCGAGAUUCACAGCCCAUCAAGAGUAAAUAAUAAAGAUAUGUGGAAAAUAGCUAAGUGGAAAGAAACACUUAUUAUCUCUAUUUUUUUUAAUUGUCUCUGCAGAUGGAGAACAUCCUUGGUCUUAGGCUAAUCAUUCUCUAACCUGUUUUCUCCUUGUAUCUUCACAGUAGUUGGGUAUGCGAAGGGCUGCUUCCAUCCAAAUUUCACACAUGAGCAUACCUGGGACUCGGAGCAGUGAGCCCCUGGCUCAGUCCCCAGCCGAGAGGAGCCAGGCUGGGCUGGUUCUGCGUGGACUCCAGGCGCGUGUGAGAAAAUCCUCUGCUGAAAGAAAGGAUCGGGGUGAAAGGGGAACCUAAAAGUCACUGAAAUAAAGUGUCCAGCAUGGGGCCCGGAGCUUAUCAGUCUUUAAAUCAUUGACAUUUUUAUUAUUACAUAAAAAUACCCAAGUCAUGGGUAUUCACCAUUAUGGAUUAGAGAAGGAACAUGGUUAUUAAGUGCCUAAGAAAAAUGCAAACAUUUUCAUAAGAAGUGCAUGACGGACAGCACGUGCAAUGAUCUCUUAGUGACUGUCCCACUCACAGAUCUCACUGUCAGAGAAUUUUUAUGGGUAACGUUUAGCAACUUGUUCCCCAGACUUCUUCCCCCUGGAAUUCUAUGAAUCUUGAAAAUGAACACAUGGGGAAGUUCUGCGUUUGCUUUUGACCCUCCUGACAUCGGUUGGGUUCCAGUGACAUCAGUGGAAGGUGUGUCACUUGCUUUACCACCAGUGAGGGACAUCUGUCAAGCCUCCAACUGCCAGGGCUUCAGUUUCUUCAUGUGGGAAGGUGGGGGAGCACAGAGAGACGUUGUGGGGAAACCAGGGAAGUGAGUGUUCCCUUUGCAGCUCCCUCGCUCUGCCUGGACUCAGCAUCGUGGAGCAGGGCGCAGCAUCGCAUCAGGGCGCUUCGCCAGCCUCCAGACCUCAGCCUCCCCAGUGGCACUGCCCGUGAUCGUCUGCUGUCAGAAGCUUGAGAUCCUGAGUCCACAAAGAUGCCUGCAGCUUCUGGCCUGUGCUGCUUAGCAUGACACUUCCGCAGAAGCUCCCAUAUCUCACAUGAGGAAGUCAGGGGCCCUGCCCUCACCACAGCUGGCCAUCUAAGAAUCGGGAACUCCAAGUGGCCUGCAAUCCAUCCUCCCUCCUGGCCGCCCGACAGGAGCUCUGCAGGUCAAAUCCAGUGUGCACUGAAAGCUCUCAGGCCUGCUUCCUGGCUCACUUUCGAGUUGUUGUUCAGUACAACAGAACUGAAUCCAGGGGUUUGCAAUGGUGCCUUUGCUCACGAUGGGAUUUCACUAGUCAGUCCCACAAGUUAUCUGUGUAAAACUAUUUGUGUGUUGCUCAGUGACCGGGCAGUGGCAGAGCCCCCACAGAACAGAGUCCUUGCUUCUGUCAGGAAAGUCAUGGUGUUGGGGAGAGGUGGUGUUGAGUCAUGCUCCUCUAUGACCGAACAAAGGGAACAGUUGAGGACAUCAUUUGGCAUCAUGUUUGGGAACUAGAAAGAGAUGGAGCUAGAGGGGACUUGGGUGCAGAGGCAAGGAAUAGACUCAUAAAUGAGGGAAACCCUUGUGGCUAAUUUUAUGCUCCACAGCCUUAGAAUUUCGCAUUCCUUAUUGAAGAAUACCUUCGUGGGGUUCUGCUUUCCUAGUGAGAAUGUCACUUUCAUUUUCGACUUCAUUAUAUUCUUAUUUUGGAAAGAGUCUGUUCCAUGGUGCAGGUUUGCUGGCUCCGUCCUUAGGAAAGAUGCUCAAAUUAUGUCUGUCACAGUCAGGCGGUUCAGUAUGUAACACCGUGUUUCCUCCCAGACACCAAGUGGCAUCCAGUUGGUCCUCUGAGCCUCUCCAAAUGUGCAGGGCUCACCUUCUGUUGUGAAAGCAGAGUAAUCUCAGGAGACUGACAUCACUGGAUGUCCCCAAAGCAUAGCUGUCAAGUACGUAGAUUCAAAGUUUCACCAUUUCAUUUUAUCAAUUUUCGGAGCUUAUUGAGUUACUUGUGUGUUUCUUCUCUUCCAUGAUGCUGCGAGCUCUUCCCGCGGUGCUCUUUUAUUUGGAAGACCCCACGGCAGGCCACCCAGGAGUCAGGCGGGAAAGCCUUCCUCUAACAAACCAGUGUGAGCAGUGUCAGAAAAAUGUGACACGAAGGUGACAGGAAAGCAAGUUCUAGUUUUCCUGCUUCUCAAGGAUUGUAUCAAACAGAGUUAAAAUAAUGGAAAGUAUCUGGUCUUUCCAGAUGCUCUCUCUGUAUGUGGUAGAGAGGUGACUGGCACCGUGAGACAAUGGUACACGGGACUGGGUGUAUUGUAAAACCCUAGAAGCGUUACAUACAUAGCGGCAUUAGAGUACUAUGACCUGCAGGAGCAAAAUGGAUCAAAGCAACUUAUUGAUUGGGAUUGCGACUCAAAGUUUGAAUGGAAUAGCUAAGAAGCCACAAGGCCAAUAUAUACUCCAAUUAUUCUUUCUUGUUACCAUCAGCAUUUCCUGAUUUUUUAAAAAUUUUAAUGCUACUGAGAACAUGUAGAAAGUAGAAUCUGAGCAUGGUAAGUAAUGAUUACUAUCUGCAAGGGAGUCUUCUGAGUCAUUGAAGAAAUACCCAAAGACAGGAUUGGAUCAUCAUUAGAAAAACAUACAUGGUGGGCAUCACACACGCAGAUGCACACCAUUAAAUUUACUUCCCAAUUUUUGGCUUGAUUAAUGGAAAUUCCAAAGAGUUUUGUUUAAACGAGAUUGGGCAGGCGCAGGGUGGUAUGGCCUAGACUCAAAGAACUUGGUUUAGAUCAAAUUGUUGACUUGGGCUUCCCAGCUGAACCCCACUGUGGGUGAUACUAUGUCACUGCAUUAAUAUGCCUGUGGUUCAGCAGCUUCAGCAGAAAAGGAAUUCUAAUUCCUUGCACUUGGAAAACUGUUUGUUACUGAAAGAUUCUUCAGUCUCCCAAACCUAUCUGUCCAUGAGGAACUUUAGAAAAGAAGUCUUCUCCUCUCCACUAGCGAUUGGUUCCUCUUGUAGUUCACAAGUGCCAAAAGUUUUUUGUGUGUUUUCUUUUUCUUAGAGGUUUUUGCCAGAGAGUUCAGAACUUAUAACGUGCCCAUUUUACAUGAAAACUGUGUCUACAUUACAGCACACCCAGGUGCCAGGAUUCUGACCGAUUUCUGACUGAGAACAUUAGUUUGUCGACCACUAUUUUUUCUUGUUUUUUAGUUUGUUACACACACACAAAUGUAGGCAUGUAGUGGAACUGCUAAAAUUGACAAAGAAUUGUGAGUAGAAAAGGUAUAUUUGUGUGUUUAACUCUUGAAUCCAAUAUUUAAAAUAAGAAGAGCAAUAAUCACUAAAAGCAUCCAUGUCCCUGAUUUUGUUUUAGUGU